AGGGUGUAAACGCUGCGGGCUUGGUGUUGGGGGUCCUUUGAGGGCGCCCAGUGCCGGAGAGAAGUUGUUAAGCCUGCUGCUUGGGGAGUACGUCCGCAAGGAUGAAACUUAAAGGAAUUGGCGGGGGAGCACAACAACGGGUGGAGCUUGCGGUUUAAUUGGAUUCAACGCCGGAAAUCUUACCGGGACCGACAGCAACAUGAAGGCCAAGCUGAAGACUUUGCCGGAUUAGCUGAGAGGAGGUGCAUGGCGUAGUCGUGU
rnacentral:rRNA from 1 species